GAAAAUCUCACAGCAAGUAAUUCAACUACUUCCAAGUAUGAACUUCCCGCUUCGAGAAGCUGUUAAUAUCAGCUGUCUUUUUAUCAUUUGCAGGAAUAUCACCGUGGUGUGCUGCUGUCUGCCAAUCGUACCAAAAGCAUAGCAUGGGAUUUAACACAGCUGUAUAUUCUGCCCCACGUCAGGCUCCUUGAACAGUUUUGUCCCUUAAGGAAUAUCACAGUGGUGUGCUGGUGUCUGCCAAUCAAAAGUGUAGCAUGGGAUUUAAUGCAGCUGGAUUCUG